CCUACGGGAGGCAGCAGUGAGGAAUAUUGGUCAAUGGGCGCGAGCCUGAACCAGCCAAGUCGCGUGAGGGAAGACGGUCCUAUGGAUUGUAAACCUCUUUUGUCGGGGAGCAAAAGACGCCACGCGUGGCGUUCCGAGAGUACCCGAAGAAAAAGCAUCGGCUAACUCCGUGCCAGCAGCCGCGGUAAUACGGAGGAUGCGAGCGUUAUCCGGUUUUAUUGGGUUUAAAGGGUGCGCAGGCGGAAGAGCAAGUCAGCGGUAAAAUUGAGGGGCUCAACCUCUUCGAGCCGUUGAAACUGGUUGUCUUGAGUGAGUGAGAAGUAUGCGGAAUGCGUGGUGUAGCGGUGAAAUGCAUAGAUAUCACGCAGAACUCCGAUUGCGAAGGCAGCAUACCGGCGCUCAACUGACGCUCAUGCACGAAAGUGUGGGUAUCGAACAGGAUUAGAUACCCCAGUAGUC
rnacentral:rRNA from 1 species